rfam:Ordospora colligata OC4 contig_08, whole genome shotgun sequence.
GGCUGGAAGCUUUCGAUUAGGGGCAGAUGCCCUUGGGAAGGUCUGAGAUGAGACAUGUGCCGAGAGGGUGCCUGGUUAAUGCCAGGAGCCGUUCCUAACAGAAAAAUACACUUGCUAUGUGACCGGAAGGAAUGAGCAUGGCGAGUUUGGAAAGUGGACGGUGUCUUAGUGCGAAUAGUCAAACUCGAAAGGCAGCGAUGUGCUGUAACCCAAUUCAGACUACUCUCCAGCAGCC